rnacentral:rRNA from 1 species
UACGUAGGUGGCAAGCGAUACUCGGAAUCACUAGGCGUAAAGCGCAGGUAGGCGGUUCGGUAAGUCUUUUGUGAAAGCUCCCGGCUCAACUGGGAGAGGCCAAGGGAAACUACCGGACUAGAGUGUGGUAGGGGAUACUGGAAUUCCUGGUGUAGCGGUGAAAUGCGUAGAUAUCAGGAGGAAUACCUAUGGCGAAAGCAGGUAUCUGGGCCAUCACUGACGCUGAGCUGCGAAAGCUAGGGGAGCAAACAGGAUUAGAAACCCGCGUAGUCC